GACGAAGGGGGCUAGCGUUGUUCGGAAUUACUGGGCGUAAAGCGCGUGUAGGCGGUUGUUCAAGUCGGGUGUGAAAGCCUUGAGCUCAACUCAAGAAAUGCACUCGGUACUGGAUGACUAGAGGACCGGAGAGGAUAGUGGAAUUCCCAGUGUAGUGGUGAAAUACGUAGAGAUUGGGAAGAACACCAGUGGCGAAGGCGGCUAUCUGGACGGUUUUCUGACGCUAAGACGCGAAAGCGUGGGGAGCAAACAGG
rnacentral:rRNA from 1 species